rnacentral:rRNA from 1 species
CCUACGGGUGGCAGCAGUGAGGAAUAUUGGUCAAUGGACGAGAGUCUGAACCAGCCAAGUAGCGUGAAGGAUGACUGCCCUAUGGGUUGUAAACUUCUUUUGUCAAGGGACAAGAUCAGGCUCGAGAGCCUGACCGAGGGUACUUGAAGAAAAAGCAUCGGCUAACUCCGUGCCAGCAGCCGCGGUAAUACGGAGGAUGCGAGCGUUAUCCGGAUUUAUUGGGUUUAAAGGGUGCGUAGGCGGACUGUUAAGUCAGUGGUAAAAGCCCGGGGCUCAACCCCGGCGAGCCGUUGAAACUGGCUGUCUUGAGAUGUCGAGAGGUAUGCGGAAUGCGCAGUGUAGCGGUGAAAUGCUUAGAUAUUGCGCAGAACUCCGAUUGCGAAGGCAGCAUACCGGCGGCGAUCUGACGCUGAGGCACGAAAGCGUGGGUAUCGAACAGGAUUAGAUACCCCAGUAGUC